rnacentral:lncRNA from 1 species
GGUGCUGGACAAGGGAACUAUUAGUUGCUCUGCUCUUGGAGGUCCUGGCAAUGGGAUGGUGGCAGAUACCCUCCCCACUCAUGUCUACUUACAGCUCCCAAAUGAAUUCUUGAAGCUUGUAAGAGAUUUCUGGGUGACUACAGAACAGGUAAAAGAUAACUUGCUUCCUAAAACUGCUCCACCACUGAUCUGUUUUCUUAGGAGAGACGACUUUCUGUUUUACUUUGCAGUCAGCUAACAGUAAAAUGUAAUGGUUUUUCUUCUAGGUUACCUACCAAGGACACAAAAUACAUGGGAAGGCCAGAUCGCUGACAGCUGCUUUCUACAAGAGCAUGCAAGUCCCUCUUGAGAUGAAUGAUUGGAAUGGGGAUACGCAUCCUGCUUUCACUGGAGGAUCCACAUCAAGGAGCCCCAAAUAGGACACCUAUGCUGGGACUCUGCCCCAAAGGGAUCAUACAAAUCCUAUGUUCUCUGAUAGCUCCCAGGAGCCUCAUUUGCCUCUGUGGUGGGAUUUGAACUCUGGGAUUACACUGCCUAUGUACUGGAUGGUGGGCUCAGUCCCCUUUUCCUCUUAUCCCCCAUACUGGGGACCACAUUGAAAGAGACAGUGCCAAAUUCAGACCUGGACCUGAGGCUUGCACAGCACAAGGAGUACAUUUGGCCCAUAUUACGUGGCAGGAACAUGAAUUUCAUGCAACAUACCCUUAAGUAACUUCUGGAUCAAAUGAUAUGGCUGCAUUUUUCUUCUACUAAGUCAAAGCAAGGUCUUCUUUCAAAGUAUCAUGUUUCAAAACUUCUAGUAUGACACUUCAAUUCUAGUACAUGUCCAUUUGUAAAUAGCAUCUAGAAAUGAGCUUCUAAAUAUUGGUACUCAAGAUGAAUUGGUCCCUCUUCCAGUGGCACCAAUCAGGAAUCAGCAGUUGAUGAGGAUCUUCACGGUCUCACUCAGAGUUGGUCCAUGCUCUCCAUGCUUCCUAAGCAGCUAUGCUGCCUCUUACACUCCACCACCCUUCACCACCCACCUCUCCCGUGCCAUUUCUCUGUGUGAAGGGUUAUUUUGUCAGUAGCAGUUUUGCUCCAGCUGGGCUUCCAGGAUUAUGCCUGAAGUU